ACCGUGCAAAGGUAGCGUAAUCACUUGUCUUUUAAAUCAAGACCAGUAUGAAUGGCUAAAUGAGGGCAAACCUGUCUCCUACGACCAAUCAGUGAAAUUGAUCUCCUGGUACAAAAGCCAAGAUAUUAACAUAAGACGAGAAGACCCUGUGGAGCUUAAAAUUUAUAACUACUUAAAAACUAGUAUUAAUUUUAAGUUGGGGCGACUUCGGAACAAAACAAGACUUCCGAGCAAGGAACCAAUCAAUUCCUAACAUAGGCCCACAAGCCAAUUUAGCCGACCCAGUCACACUGAUCAACGAACCAAGUUACCCCAGGGAUAACAGCGCAAUCCCCUCCAAGAGUCCAUAUCGACAAGGGGGUUUACGACCUCGAUGUUGGAUCAGGACACCCAAAUGGUGCAGCCGCUAUUAAAGGUUCGUUUGUUCAACGAUUAAUAGUCCUACGUGAUCUG
rnacentral:rRNA from 1 species